GCCAACAGACAUGUAGCAUGGACUUCUAAUGGUCUUUGGAGUUGAUCAUGGGCCUGUCAAGUGAAAAAAAAGACCUGUAAGAGACAGAUUUAGCUGUAUCAUAAUGUGGUCAUCUGUCUGCAAGCAUGAAGAGGGAUUGAGGAACAGACAUAGCCUAUAUGACCUCUCUUCUAAAUACAAGAAUAAAUAUGGAAAUAUAAAAGAAAUAGGUGAAUAAACAAGAAAACAAUACAAGAAUAUUUAAUAAACAACAUUCUGGGCAAUUCAAGGAAAUUGAAAGUUAAACAAUAAAUAAGAAGUGGUAUAUGUUCUAGGAGUUGUCAACCAUAUCCUGCCUAAUGCAUGACACAAACAGAGCCCUGCCUCUAGCGAAAUGAAAAAACAUAGGGUUUAAAGUUCUACUUUGCUGCGCUGAAGAGAAAAACGAAGAUGGACCUCAAUUUUCAGUCCGAUCCAAACAUCUAGAGCAGUGAUUCUCAACCAGUGUGCCGCGGCACACAAGAUCUUCCUAAGUGCGCCGCGGAAUUUUGAAAGGCACACUAAGAAAAUCCGAAAAACAACAUGAUCCCAAUUGAGACGAGUGUUUUUUCUUUAUUUGGUUUAAGACACUCUAUGUUUCUAUGACUAAUCUCUGUCUACGAUUGUAUGCCGUCUAACUUGCCAUGUUUUUAUUUUGCAAAAUUCAAAUA